rnacentral:rRNA from 1 species
GACGUAGGGUGCAAGCGUUGUCCGGAUUUACUGGGCGUAAAGAGCGCGUAGGCGGCUCGUUAAGUGUGAAGUGAAAUCUCCAGGGCUCAACCCGGAAACUGCUUUACAUACUGGCGAGCUGGAGUGAUGAAGAGGUUUGUGGAAUUCCUGGUGUAACGGUGAAAUGUGUUGAUAUCAGGAGGAACACCCAUGGCGAAGGCAGCAAACUGGCCAUCAACUGACGCUGAGGCGCGAAAGCGUGGGUAGCAAACAGG